CUAGGUGCUUCAAACGACUAGGCCCUACCUGAUCCCAUCUCGAACUCAGCAGUAAAACUAGUCAGUGUCGAUGAUAGCGGCAACGCGAAAGUAGACCAGCGCCUGGA
rnacentral:rRNA from 3 species